UUUGCUUGCUGGCUUGUUUAAGUUCCUUAUAGAUUCUGGAAAUCAGACCUUUGUCAGAUGCACAGUUUGCAAAUAUUUUCUCCCCUUCUGCAGGCUGUCUGUCUACUCUGUUGAUAUUUUAAUAGUUUCUUUUACUGUGCGGAAGUCCCAUUUGUCUAUUUUUUAUUUUGUUGCAUUUGCUUUUGGGUUCUUCAUCACAAAUUCUGAAAGACAUUCUUUUAAAAACAAACUCUCAGGCAUGCCAGUGGCAACUGUGACCCUGAAGGGGUGGUGGCCCAUGCACAGCUUCUGUCUCCCAUCAGCCAGUGGACAGCUUCUGUCUCCCGUCAGUCCCAUCCUCCAGUAGCAGUGAGAGUCUCCUCAGUUCUUGUCUGUUCCAUCAGGCCAGCCCAUGAUCUGGGCCCCAAACUCAAGUGCUCACCCUGCAACCCUGGUUGGGAUGUCCGUGCUCCGGGCUGCAGACCACAGUGGACCUCUGCACAGACCUGCCUCCACCACCAGCUGUGUGCCUGCUGCUAUGUAGCCCCUGAGAUUCACAGCUGUCUCUUCUCUUGUCUCCGUGAUGAAGCUUCUACCAUUCUCAGCCCCCACUCCCAACACCGCUCCGCAUACUCUGCCUGCAUCAGGCCUGACAAAGUUUUCUUCAGGGGGAUUUUACGGUCGGAAUGGCAGAGUAGAGGAACGCAGGUGGGAAUAUUGGCAGCCCUUUGGCCAAAGGGCUGAGAACCGCCCAGCCACUUCUCAAAGGCUGCGCUUUUUGGAAGGUUCUCCAAUUAGAAGCACCCAUCAAUCAGAAAAAUUAAAUCAAGGAACUUCCUGGAACAAACAAGGACUCGGUGCUUUAGUUCUGGAUGCCCAAGUAGCAGGCAUUGUGGAAGGACCUUCACACCAGCUCCUGAGCCUGCAUUCCUGUGUCAGCAAAACACCAUCGUAGUGUCAGCAUCAAAUCCUGUAACCGGCCGUGAGAGGCUCUGGGCCGGGCUCUGUGCACACAGCACCCCUGAGACGCCACUCCACCUUUGGAUGUGAAAUGCCCAGGGUUCAGCCCUCUGCAAACUGGAGAAUGCCAAGCAGACCAUGGGAGCCUUCCUUCCUCCCCUCCAGCUUUCCAAGAGCACAUUGAACGCCACCUCUGUCAUGUCCCAAGCCAGGCACCAAGGUCACAGCAUAUUCCACUCCUCCCACCCUUCAAAGUGCUCACAGUUUGCUGGAAGAGAAACAAGUAAACAGAUCUUCAGGACACAAGGGACAGUGCACAAUGACAGAGCUAGAACCAUUCUGGAUGCAAAGGAGAGAAGUUGAUUCAUCCCAACAACAGAUGCUGUUGGCCCUUUGGGCUGAAUUCCCAGGACCCACAUCUCAUCCUGCUUGUCAAACUCUUGAUUCAGUGAAUCCCUGGUUCAUUCAGAAAACAAAACUCAUCGCUUUCAAAGCCAAAGAAUCACCACGAAGAAGCUUAACGUAAAUUUCCGAAAUGUAAAAGAAAAUAUUCCAAGAGCACUGGUCUUCGAAACAGACUAUGGAGGGUUAAAAACCAAGGCCUCC